AAUCCAACAUGGGCUCAAACCCACGAACUGUGAGAUCAUGACCUGAGCCGAAGUCGGACGCUCAACCAACUGAGCCACCCAGGGACCCCAAGGUGAUGAAGCUUCUAAUUCGGAGAUGAGAAUCCCAGACACCCAGUAGGACCCGUCAGGGAACGCUGGUGAGUAAAGGCAGAAGAGGGAAGAAACGCAGAACGGAGCCCUGUGGUGGCACACUUCUCUUUCUGGGGACGACACAGGCUCAGCUUCUGUGUUUAGAAAGGAAAGCUGCAUCAGGAUUUUGUCGUGAAAUCUUACAAUGGAGCCAUACCAAUUCCUCUUUUCCUAUCCAGUCCCCCUCCCCAAGCUCCGGUCCCCCAUUCUUUUGAGACCCAAACACUAUGGCUUCUGGACUUCACUCCCUCCUGUGGAAUUCUAGCCCUCACUCUCUGAGCCACGCAUAUGAAUUUACACUGUUUUGUGAAUUCUGUAUUUACGGGAACUUUCGAAUCACUGUCAAAAUGUCUUCAUGGUACCCCAGCUGGAUCGUGAGCUUGUGAACUCUCUCAGCACAAUGCCCCGUCUCAAGGCUUUGUCCUCCCUCGACAUGCACAGGGCAGGAGGGCUGGCCUGCACUUAGUACCCACGCUAUGGCAGAGGCUCUGUGUCCUUAUUCAUGGCUCUGUAAGCCAGGCCCACGCUGAAGAUGAGAAGACAGUGUCAGCAAGCCCACCUGGCCUGGCCCACUCAUAAAGGGAGGAGCUAUAUGCUUCUGACUGCCUUUGACUUUGCUGCCCUUUCCAUUAUUAUUGUCUUUGUCACGUAAGGCUGCCAUAACAGAAACGUCAUAGAGUGAGUGGUUUGAACCACAGACGUUUACUUAUCAUAGUCCCGGCAGCCGGAAGCCCGAGGUGAAGGUACUGGCAAACCUGGUGUCCGGAAAGGAGGCAUUAUGACCACAUCAGGGGAGAUCAUUGGGCAUCUAUCUCGCUUUUGCCAUGUAGAAACUGUCCAAAGUUUCUGUUUAAUCUCCCAGUUUUGCCUGAAGCCACGAAGUCGACCUCAGAGCAGAGCCUCUCUCCAGCCCUUACUGCCUAAAUGAAAACCAUGUGCUUGUGUGGGUUUUCUUUGUUUUUCUUUUUAAAGUUCUUCUCCAUUAUUUAAUGAAACUAUUUAGUAAUGCAUAGGUCUUAAAUAAUAGGGUUCACAUGGGCUGUUAUCAAUUAAGUCACAUUAACACAAACACUUGUUCUCAGAAGCAAAUUUAACUCUGGACAUGUUUAAAGCCGAUUGUAACACCCUGGAGGAAGUUAGAAACUCUUUGAAUUUUUACAAGUCAGACUAUACAGGACAAUACAUAAAAAUAAUAUGUGUAUGAAAUACUUAAUACUUGUACAGCUCCCAUCCAUCCUUUCCUCCUUCCAGGAAGGCAAUUUAUCAACCUAAACUCCCAUCCUGGGUAGUGUUACUUCUGACCCCGGUUUAGCGGUAGAAAAAUCUAAUUCACACUGGAGGUAUGUCACAUCCCAGAACUCGGGAUGCAAAUCACAAAUCUGUAUGCCGAGUGGGUUGUGGAGAUGCCUCUUCUUUCCACCUGCCAGGAGUUAAGAUUGUCUGGAAAAGAAGAAUUGCAAGGGUAUGACUUGAAUUCUGAAAAUCAUGCCUUCUAUUCUACUGAAACAAUAUUUUAAAGAAUAAAAUCCUUUUUUUUUUUUUUUUUUGCUUUAAAACAGACCAACCUAGUACAGAUAGGUCAUUCUUGAGUAUUUGUUCAUGCCAUUUGCAUAACAGAGAAUGAGCCCUUUAUGGUCAGUGCAGCAAACACAAUGGAGGUGUUGAUGUGGGGGUGGGAUGGAGAGAUUUUGCCACUGUGACCCAAUCUGCACAAUUGCAAACAACAUUUGGCCUUCUGGAAGCCCCUUCUCUUACUUCCUGGCACAUUCUCUCCUGCCUGACUGCAGGAUGGAAGGACUAUCACUCUAUAGCAUGCUCCAAUGGUGAAUUCUCCUUAUUUCCCACAAAACUAACAAGCAAAAAGGCCCAACUCUUCAUUUCCCAGCGGGUGCUCUCACUAGAAGAACAAAUGAAGUGAGGCGAUUUGCAGUUGGAUGUGAGCCACUGCUCACUGAGCCACUGAUAUGUACAUAUCCAGCGGUGAGCUGGCAUAUCCCCCUCGGAUAUGGCGACGGACAGCAGCUCACACUCUACAUGUGUGGGCGGAGUUUACCCGCCAUCUCCCCCACCCCCAGCCUCCUGUGUUCUCUCUCUCUUGGCUGGGCACAAGCAUGUCACCAAGCAUGCAAGCUACUGAGUGGAUAAUGUGUCCAGGCUUCUCGUCCCCACUGCGUCUUCUAACCUGGUUCUGGCUCAGUUUCCCCAGACUUGCCAUUGGACAUUCUCACUGCCAUUUCAGUGACUGAGCCCAUAGGUCGGCUUGUCAUUUCCUCAACCCAACAGGCUGCUGGUACACACACCAAAUCCCAUUCUGCAUCUUCGGAGCCCUUUGAUUCUUCAGACAUCUCUUCCAUCUGGUUUUCUGUCCUCCUCCCUUCCUCUUGGACCACUGUCUCCUUCUUUGUCCCCUUGUCGCUCUCCCCCUGGACACGCUAAACUGAGGAUUGGGUUUUACAGCACUUCCUAAUCGACUUAAUCUUUUUUCUCCACUGGCUGGUUCUCUGAGGGCAGUUUUGUGCCCAUCUGCCUGUCAUUAGUGCUGGGCACAGAGUAGCUGCUCAGCAAGUGUUAGUUGAGUGCACCGACUGGAUGUGGGCAUUGUAAAAGAUGAACUUGUGAACUCAUUUGCUGAGCUGAGUGGGGGAUGUAUUCCUGACUUUAGUCCCGGUGGGCUUCUAAUAAAUUCCUGUGGAGUUUUGUUGAGUACUGAAAGCAGAAACUUUCCAGUCUUGCUUGGUAAUCCCUCCUCCCUGCUUCCAGCCAGAGGAAUCGUCACCAGCAAUGAGAAACACUAGUUUUUAGUUCGCUGGGUCCUAUUAUAUAUUACGUGACUGAAGCCAAAAUGGCCUCUCACCCCUAAAACUAGAAUCCCUUCAGAAGCCUGCAUCGUGGCUUCAAACCUAUAACUUAAGCCAAAGUGUACAAAUUGUUUCUACAAAUUAAUCAAUCAAUGGAAAUCUAUUAAAUCCUUGCUCUGUGGAUGCCAAAAUGAUUGGGAUUACUGUGAGCAAACAAACAAACAAAAAAAGGAAUUGCUCAAUAAAUACUGGAGUGAUUGGUGUAUUCAUUUGUGAAAAAGUAAUUUUCAACUUUAUUAAAGAAUUAAGUAAAAUAUAAUAACAGGAGGAAACCCAGGUGAAUGUUUAUUCCAUAAAAUCAGAAAUUAUGAGCAAGACAGCUAUUGAGGAGACCAUUUGACCAUAUAAAAACUAAAGUCCUUUGUGUAUCUAUGAGCACAGCCACACAUAUAAAGGCAAAUGCCAUAUCUUAUGGCAUUCAAGACAUCAAUUAUAUGAUGCAUCACUAUAUUAUCAAUGUCACUGAAAGCAGGAAAAAUAACAAACCACCAGUUAAAAUAUGAUAGGCCAACAAUUAUGAAACAUGAAUUGAUUUUAAGGAUGUUAAAAUGUGGGUGGAAAAUGUGCCUCUUGGGAUCGAGGAGGUAUGGUAGCAAACUAGAAAAAAAAAACAUGACAGAAACAUGUCAUCUACUCACCUCCAAUGGGAACAUAACUUAGCACAAUCUUUCUGGAUAUAAUUUAGCAGUUAUGUACCAAGAUUUUUGAAACAUGCAUUCUUUUGACCCACAAAUUUCACUUCUUGGAAUUUGCGCCGAGGAAAUCAUUAAGAAUGUGUAGAAAGAUUAAGCUACAUAUUUGUUCACUGCCAUAAUAUUUAUAAAACCAAGACAUUGGCAUACCUUAAAUGUUCAGAAAUCAGUGAUUAGUUUCUGCAACACAUUAUAGCAUAUCCAUAUCAGGGCACUGCCUUCAGUCAUUAAAAAUGACGCCGUAGAUGAAGAUUAAUUGGCAGGAAAAGAUCUUUGCUGCAUGUUUUGAUUUCAUUUCUCCAAGAAAAUAUCUAUAGAUGUAGCUGUGUAGAUAUGAAUAUACAGAGGAAAAAGCUGGAACUAAAUUUAUAUUAGAGGUGGUUUUUGAGGGUGGUGCUAUAAUGCUAAUUUUAUUUUUAUUUUUUCUCAUAUAUUUUAGUUUCUUUUAAAAAUAUAAUUUAUACUAGCACAAUAAUGAAAUGUUAUGUCUAUUUAAAAUGAAAGUCUGCCUUGAAGAGAUUUAAAAGACUAUUUGACACAUUAAGGGGAGAAUACAAAUGAAAAUUAUUGAAAUAAAAAAUAUAAACUAUGCCCUUGGUUUUAGGCAUUUGUGGAAAAUCAUUUUUCAUGCCAAGUAAUGAACAUUCUGGUAUAAAAACUGGUUUCUCCCUGUUUUAUUGCUACUUUGAUUAAUAACAAGUCAAGUUCCUAUUUGUGUCUCAUGUGUAUAUUAAGACUCUGACCCCUGCAACCAAAUUCAACAAGACCUUGUGAAAAAUUUCAGAAACGAUUCUUGAGAAGUAACCAGGCACUUCGAAAUUAACAAGUAUUCAGUGUAACCUGACCUUCAGUGUCACAUUUUAACAUCUGUUUUUCACGUUGUGAUACUUAUUUGAGAUCUGGUAUUAUUAAGUAAUGAGGAAAAUAUCUGACUGUUACCAUAGGUAACAGAGCAGUAACUUGAGGCGGAUGGAUUGGCAUGCUUUGUCUCUAUAAUGUAAUUCAAAUAAAGUCAUAACAUUAUGGCUAUAGCCUUCAUCCGUCAAGCAUUUAUACAUAUUUUUCCCUCUGAUAAAUGAACUGCUAGGCUUUAUGACUGAUUAAUAAUAGUCCAAUAAAAAGGAAGAGAAACAGCUUUUGGCCUUCCAUUUAAAAUUGCCAUCGGCAGUUUGGAGAUUUAGGUAUAUACGUAAACAUUUUUUAAGUGAUUCUGCAGUGGCAUUUUUUUUUCAAGUGAAAGAACUUUGAGUAUUUUAAAUAAUACUUAUUGAAACGGAUUCCACAUACUUGUGUCCGAGCCAGUGUCCACACUAUUGCCACAAACUCUGGGAACAAGUUCUUAUAAUAUUAGAGACUACAAAAAUAUUUAUUUAUAGUCUUUCUUCCCAAAGACUACAUCAUAUAAAAUUUUUUAAAAACCCCACGGAUAUGAAAGGAGACCACUUUGAAAAGGUGGUUGAAUGUAGCUGCUUCAGCUACUAAGAUAGUUCUGGAGAUUUCCUAGGCAGCAUUCCUAGAGUGGAAAUUUCAUCGAGUUAUUGCAUGCUUCAACUUUGUAGCGUCUCUUCGUUGUCCUUAGGAUAAAGUUCCAGUCCCCUAACAUGGCUUACAGAGCCAUGUGCGAUCUGGCCCUGGCCAGCCUCCCCACCUCAUCCUUCCCUGCCUACUGCUCCCCACUCUACCUUGCUCCUUUCUCUCCUCCUCCUCCUCUUCUUCUCCGUCUUCCUCCUCCUCUCCUCUUUUUUUCUUCUUCACCUGCCACAUCCUCCUCU